CCUUACAGGAAAUGCCCAGCGGAACUCCAUGGAGUCCCUCGAGUCGUCUUUGCACUGCUGAGCCAGGUAUUAGAGGACCCACAGUGCACUUCUGAGCCUCAUUUCUGUCUCUCUCACCUACCACAAACUCUGGACAAUCAGCUCGCACAUUUGUUCCUUUAUUCCCAAGGAGAACAUGAGGAAAAGACGUAGAUAUCACCCAAAUGUGUCAUUUACCAGCCUCCUUGUGGGAGUCCAGUACCCCAACCCCAUCUUGAGAGAUGCUGCUGUUCCAACCUCAGGAUCUCCUAAUGGAGUCAAGAGCUUCUCCCCUCACCAGAGUAAGAAGUCUGGCCACCAAGCUUGUGAAACUUUGUGUCUGACAUCUCUAUCCAUGGAAAUAAGUCAACUGGAUUCUUCAAGCUCAAGUUCCAACACCACAGGAAAGAACUCUCAAUAUAAACCAAGUAACUGUGGCCCAAAAAGAGAGAUCAGAGAAGAAAGUGACAGCUUCUAGGGAGC
rnacentral:lncRNA from 1 species